CCCACAUUCACUACCCAAACCCUAAAUUAAUUCACCCUCCAACUGCCCCACUCCCACAAUCGCUACCUUUCAUCGAUGAUUUCUUUCCUCAUUGCAUUUUUUUCCUUCUUCUCAGCAUUGACGGCGACCAUUUUUUGUUUCUUCACAUGCUUUUUUGCGCGUCACAUUUCACGACGAGGACGGGUGAGGGGGAGUGAGCGCCGCUUAUUAUCUGCUCACGAUGUCGCAUCGCAGAUGACGAUCUAAUGGCACCCACUUCCAAGACGGCAAUCUGGUGGCAACCACUCAUAAGACCUUCGGUCUGUUAUUUGUUCUUUGUGGAUUUGAGGUGAUGGCGAGGGUUUUUGAUUGUUAGGUUGUUACUGGCAGUAGUUGUAGUGCAAUAGUGGUGAAGGUAGUUAUUGGUGGCUGGAGAUCUAAUAAAGGUGGUUGUCAUGGUUUUUGUUGGUAGUAGAUUGGAUUUGGUGGUGGCGAUUUGGUGUCGGUGGUGAUGUUGUGGUGUCGGUGGUGUUGUGGUAUAACGACAGUGACAAGGUGAGGGUGUGCGUAAGUGGCCGUGGCUGUCGUAAUAGUGUUGGUAGUGAAGGUAUGUGAUCCACUAUUUAGUGCAUAUUACGUUUACACUUGACUUUAAAAUUUGAUAAUUUGUGAUUAAAAAAUAAUUUAUAAUCAAUAAAUAUAAAAAUAUAUAAUUGAUAGAUAAAUUAAGAUUUUCAUUUUUUUUAUCCGUG
rnacentral:lncRNA from 1 species